rnacentral:rRNA from 1 species
AACGAACGCUGGCGGCAGGCUUAACACAUGCAAGUCGAGCGAGACCUUCGGGUCUAGCGGCGGACGGGUGAGUAACGCGUGGGAACGUGCCCUUCUCUACGGAAUAGCCCCGGGAAACUGGGAGUAAUACCGUAUACGCCCUUUGGGGGAAAGAUUUAUCGGAGAAGGAUCGGCCCGCGUUGGAUUAGGUAGUUGGUGGGGUAAUGGCCCACCAAGCCGACGAUCCAUAGCUGGUUUGAGAGGAUGAUCAGCCACACUGGGACUGAGACACGGCCCAGACUCCUACGGGAGGCAGCAGUGGGGAAUCUUAGACAAUGGGGGCAACCCUGUUCUAGCCAUGCCGCGUGAGUGAUGAAGGCCUUAGGGUUGUAAAGCUCUUUCAGCUGGGAAGAUAAUGACGGUACCAGCAGAAGAAGCCCCGGCUAACUCCGUG